rnacentral:rRNA from 1 species
AUGCAUGUCYAAGUACAAGCUCGUCCCGAGCGAAACUGCGGAUGGCUCAUUAAAUCAGUUAUGGUUCAUUGGAUCGAGUCCCCCGACAUGGAUAACUGUGGUAAUUCUAGAGCUAAUACAUGCGUCCAAGCGCCGACUUGCCAGAAGGCGUGCUUUUAUUAGGAAAAAGACCAGCCCGGUCUCGGCCGGCCACACUGGUGAACUCUGGAUAACACAGCCGAUCGCACGGUCCUCGCACCGGCGACAAAUCCUUCGAAUGUCUGCCCUAUCAACUUUCGAUGGUACGUUAUGCGCCUACCAUGGUCGUCACGGGUAACGGAGAAUCAGGGUUCGAUUCCGGAGAGGGAGCCUGAGAAACGGCUACCACA